GCCGCGGUAGCCCAGUUGGUAAAGGCACCGGCAGUACUGAUGCUGAAACUCGCACGUUCGAAUCCUGCCCGCGGUA